rnacentral:rRNA from 1 species
CGAAGGGGGCAAGCGUUGUUCGGAAUUAUUGGGCGUAAAGGGAGCGUAGGCGGUUCGGCAAGUCUUUUGUGAAAUCUCUGGGCUCAACCCAGAGUCUGCAAGGGAAACUGCCGGGCUGGAGUAUGGGAGAGGUGAGUGGAAUUCCCGGUGUAGCGGUGGAAUGCGUAGAUAUCGGGAGGAACACCUGUGGCGAAAGCGGCUCACUGGACCAUUACUGACGCUGAGGCUCGAAAGCUAGGGGAGCAAACAGGAUUAGAUACCCUGGUAGUCCUAGCCCUAAACGAUGAUUGCUUGGUGUGGUGGGUACCCAAUCCCACUGUGCCGCAGCUAACGCGAUAAGCAAUCCGCCUGGGGAGUACGGUCGCAAGGCUGA